rnacentral:rRNA from 1 species
UACGUAGGGUGCAAGCGUUGUCCGGAAUUAUUGGGCGUAAAGAGCUCGUAGGCGGUCUGUCGCGUCGGCUGUGAAAACCCGGAGCUCAACUCCGGGCCUGCAGUCGAUACGGGCAAACUGGAGUGUUGCAGGGGAGACUGGAAUUCCUGGUGUAGCGGUGAAAUGCGCAGAUAUCAGGAGGAACACCGGUGGCGAAGGCGGUGGUCUGGGCCGGAACUGACGCUGAGGAGCGAAAGCGUGGGGAGCGAACAGG